AUACGGAGGGGGUUAGCGUUGUUCGGAAUUACUGGGCGUAAAGCGUACGUAGGCGGACUGGAAAGUUGGGGGUGAAAUCCCGGGGCUCAACCCCGGAACUGCCUCCAAAACUUCCAACCUAGAGAUCGAGAGAGGUGAGUGGAAUUCCAAGUGUAGAGGUGAAAUUCGUAGAUAUUUGGAGGAACACCAGUGGCGAAGGCGGCUCACUAGCUCGAUACUGACGCUGAGGUACGAAAGCGUGGGGAGCAAACAGGAUUAGAUACCCCAGUAGUCC
rnacentral:rRNA from 1 species